GGGCCGCCGGGGGCCCCGAUGGCGCGGGGGAAGGCGCGCUCCGCACCGCGCUGGGGGUUCCUGGCUGCGUUCGCACCGCGGCCGGGGAAGAGUCAGCUCGAACUCGGCGAUGGUGCCCAUUCACUUGUGCGCGGCGCUUUCAGCUUCCCUCCUCCCCCCACUUCCACACACACACACCAACCCCCCUACCCUGGCGUUCUGGAGUCUUCCCACUUGCCACAUGUGGAAGGCGAGUUUAGGGAAAUAAGAUGGACCGAGAUGCUCUGAGAUGGGAGCUCUCCGCGCAGCAGACCCUGGCUUAGCUCUAUCUCUAGAGAUCCGAGCGACUUCUUGGGUACCAUCAGCAUCCGCAGGCCUGGUAAGAGGGGCGCACACACUUUCUCACCUCCUUCGAUGUCUCCAACUGCCCCCGAGGGCUGAGGCUGGCACAUCCUUGCAGAGAGCGGCUGUCUACACAGCCCGGGACUGGACCGAAGCGAGGAGCUGCCUCCAUUCACUCUAUCAUCUCAUGAGCCCUACGGGAACCAGGCACCCUGCUAGGCGAUUGGGAGGAGCGACUGAAAGACAAGAUGGAUACAAACCGUAGAAGGAGGUCACAGUCCGGUGAAAAGAUGGACACGCAAGUCUCGGAGUUCUGAUGGUCAAACCUCAGCAUCUGCAUAAGGCACUGUAGGAGCUGUGAGAACAGCCGGCUAGCUGCUUACAAGUUCUCCCUGGAAGCGACCUCUGUCAUCCCGGGGAAGCUGGAGUACUCCUGCUGGGCGUCUGCAGGCCAGAAUAUCUUUCGUGAGGGGUCACCUGUGCUUUUUCGUGGAUUGGUCCCAGCAUCUCUUCUUCCAUGAGCAAUUCAGAGAAUACCCUAAGGCUACACCUUCUUCUUCUGGUUGGACUCACGGUCACAUUCUCACCAGUCUUGCUUGGCAGUCUCUAGGAGUUACUGAGUCAACCUUGCCUCCCUCUUCAGCCUCUGAAUAGCCCCUGGGCAG
ensembl:lncRNA